rnacentral:rRNA from 1 species
GACGAACGCUGGCGGCGUGCUUAACACAUGCAAGUCGAGCGGUAAGGCCCUUUCGGGGGUACGACGAGCGGCGAACGGGUGAGUAACACGUGGGUGACCUGCCCUCAGCUCUGGGAUAAGCCUGGGAAACCGGGUCUAAUACUGGAUAUGACUCCAUGACGCAUGUUGUGGGGUGGAAAGCCUUGUGCGGCUGAGGAUGGGCCCGCGGCCUAUCAGCUUGUUGGUGGGGUGAGGCCUACCAAGGCGACGACGGGUAGCCGGCCUGAGAGGCGACCGGCCACACUGGGACUGAGACACGGCCCAGACUCCUACGGGAGGCAGCAGUGGGGAAUCUUGCGCAAUGGGCGAAAGCCUGACGCAGCGACGCCGCGUGAGGGAUGACGG